rnacentral:lncRNA from 1 species
GUUUGCAAUUCCUUUAAGCUCCUCCAAUCCUUCCGCCAGCUCACCCACCAAGGUCACGGAACUCAGUCUGAUGGUUGGCUCCAAGUAUCUACAUCUGCAUUGGUCAGUUGCUGGCUGAACCUCUCAAGGAGCAGCCACACCUGGUUCCUGUCAGCAAGUGCCUUGACAAGUGUCAGCAAGUGUCCGGUUUGGGUUUGACGUCUGCACACAGGAUGGAUCCCCCGGUGUAACACAGAUUUACAGUGCAGGUGCACAAGAGUUUGGAGGCAUGGCCAUGAGAAUGAAUGGAAAUCUCCAACUGACUGUGGUAGAAUGGUGAAAGACAUCUUCAGGAUGAUACCGCGACCUGGGAUAAGGGAGGUGCCCAAGAAAAAUGGGAUUGACCUUAGCAGGACUCAUCCUACAGCAAGGCAGGAACCCCAGUGGAGUGAUAUACACACCAACCCACCCACAAAACUUGCUUUUUAUUUUUUUAGUGCCACUGUAGACUAAGAAUUAGACACAUCAUCUUAUAAGCCUCCAUGAGGGUCGGUAUUGCUGCCUUAAAAUCCUGGGUCUUCAGCAAACACAGGGAUUAAUUGGAAGUUACAAGUUCCAGCGAAGCCUGUUCUUGAGGAAACACAGUCUUUGUGGACUCACAAGAGGAUGUAUUCAACUUCCCAGCUCACUGAUUUGACAGUAAAGGAUUCUUGGGUGGCAUUUCAGAGCAUAGAGAUGACCCUAGAACACCUCUGCUCCCAACCCUGCCCCUACCCCCUGCUGAAGCCUCUGUUUCAAAGUCCUACCUUGGUUUCUUCGCAUGAUGCACAAUAAACUGACAUAAACCACUUCUUUCCAAGCUGUGUUUGGUCAUCAUUCCAUAAAAUCAGCAGAAGCAAGC